CUCGCGCCGCCAGCCGAGCGAGUGGCGCGCGUUUACACAAUCCGUUGGUUCGGAGCGCGAGCGACACUCGCGUUGGAUGCGUGGCUUCUUCUUGUGACGACGAUCGACGCGCGAACACGUAUCGUCAAUUGUUUUUUUAUAACAUCUUGAAACUCAUACGAGUUCAGCGCUCCCUAAGCGGUUUUGGAACCUCUUAUAAGAAUUCAAGUUCCAUUAUUAUCAUAAAAAGCAACCAACAACCAAUGAAUUGAAGCUUCAAAUAUUUUAGUGCGGCUGCCAUAGUGAUUGGAAUAUUGAAAACAGACUUUUCAAUUUCAAAAUGAAAAUUGAAAAUAUGAAGUUUCUUUUUUUUUUUGAAAAAUUUGAAACUGCUGUAAGAUAUUAUGGAACUGUAAAUAUUGUGAAAAAUAACAAAGUGACGAUUAGUGGUACAGUGUCAAUGGAAAAUCAGGCGCAAAAAGUGCCAGCAUCAAAAAUUAAAAUAAGACAUAGAAUUUUUUCAUCGACAACAUAAUAAAAUUGAUGUGUUUCGUGUUUGUUAUGCCGAAGGAUCGUUCCUAUGAAUCAGAUGUGUCGGAAACACGAGAUCGACAAAAAAAGGGGAAAAAACAAAAAAAACUUGAAUACCACCGCGGCCAACCUGUUGUGUGCACGGAGACAUUUGGGCCGCACAUUUAAAUGCGGGUGUAACGACUCUUAAAUUGUGAGUUAUUUUUAAGGUUUGCUUAUAACAAAAAUGCAUAAAUUAUCUGGCCACACGCCAGAUUCCUUGUACGGUUGUGAGAAAAACAAGGCAAUUUUAAAAUUUGCUCUUUAUAUGAAGAUGUGGAGAAAGAAAUUCCACUUUAUACGACGCCCCCGAUAUCCGUUAUGCAUAUCGGCCUUAUACGGGCCCUAGAAGAGUGUCGGUCGUCUCAUUGUCUUUCUGUCCGUCAUGAGUGAGUCACGCCAUUGUUGGGUUACACAAUAGAUGUCUUUGUGCAUUGUGCCCCGGGGGACCCUGAUGUUACGUAUUUUGUAAUAAUUAGUCGACUUCUAUUUGACUCACAAAUGAUAAUUACUCAUGCGCCUACUUUCUAAAUUUCAUUAAAGAUCUAGUUGCGCCAAUAAUUAUUGAUCGUCCGUGGUACAAGUUUUUGUGAAACGCAAUAUCUCACACGGCACGCGUUUAGGGGGUCACCCUUGCGUAGGGAAGGGCAAAAAAUUCAGAGGGUUCGUCCAGCAUAAUAGAUAUGCGAAAACUCAAUCGCGUUCGCUUCUAACAAUAAAAUCCAAUGAUCUAACUUGGUAAAUCGGUCAAACGAUUAUGACCCCUAUGCCGCCGAAAAUAUGGAGUACUUUUUUUAUUCGAUUAUUCGAUAUCCCCUUUGGAAUAGGCAACUUGUAGGCGGGAAAAGUGGUCGUUCGUUCAGAUAUGUCAAAACAAAUUAGUGGUAUACUUGUGCAUGUAGGAUCGAGCACUAUUUUAUCUCAUUCGAAUGUCGUAGGUGCGAAAAGGACGAAAUCUACAUGAAUAUUGAAUACGAUUUAUCACCAGUUUUUCCCCUUUAGGCGUUUAUCGAUGUGUGGGCUAUGAAUAAGGAGUUUUGAGUUGUUUCUGUUUUAUUUUUCUGAAUUAUCACGUUAUUUGUUACAACACGGUAGAAGUGUGGAAAAUGUUUUUAUGAUAAUUGUUAUGGCUCUGGUU